AACAUUUCAGUGCUUCAUUUGUGCUUUUUCACUCAGACCGAGAGCGCUACGAUCACACAGUCCUUCCGUUUGACAGGUCGAUAUCUCUGUUUUAUCUGAGGCCUGUGAUUUCACACCUCGCUCCUGUUAACAGUUUGUGCAUUGCUUUUGGAGUGGCGUCGGGGACCAGCUCGCCUUUCUUCAGAUGCAUUUGUCACAGCAGUGAGAUGCUGUGAUUUUAAUUGUAUUGGGGAAUCUUGAUUGGGAAAAGCAGAGGGGGAAGUGAAAGCUCAAAGCAAAUUCAUUACCGCAGAGGCCGUGCAUACCGAGCUUUUCUGCAUGCAGUGAAAAUGUCAGCCUCACCUCGGUCAUUUGUAAAGUAAUAAGCAGAAGCACAAUGACGGCGAGGCGCAGCAGCGCAACGGGGGGAAGGGCAAAUCUGCCUGUCUCCUUAAAAAGGAUUUUUAAAAGAGUCUUGAUUAGAAAGUAUAAUGAGACUGAGAGCAACGCUGCACACUAUCUCUCCAGAGGCUGAUGGAAAACAAAUCAAUGUAGCUAUUUUGUUUUAAUUCCUAUUUUUCCACAUUAGACUGCAGUGCGUCCUGAGGAGUUGUCAUCACUGUCCACCAGAGCCCAUGCAGUCAGAGUUAUUGAUUUUCUGUAGACACAUCAAGGGAAUGCAGAGAGUAAUCUCUUUUUUCCCCCUGAAAAAAAACACACAAAAAACAAGAGCCAUAGCAUAAAAAAAUGGAAGAAGACAAAAGGAAGGGUUGAGGGAAAACAUUAUAUUGUAUCAUUCUUGUUUCAGGUUUAAUUUGAU